rnacentral:rRNA from 1 species
GAUCAUGGCUCAGGACGAACGCUGGCGGCGCGCCUAACACAUGCAAGUCGAACGAGAGAGAGGGAGCUUGCUUCCUCAAUCGAGUUGCGAACGGGUGAGUAACGCGUGAGGAACCUGCCUCAAAGAGGGGGACAACAGUUGGAAACGACUGCUAAUACCGCAUAAGCCCACAGGUCGGCAUCGACCAGAGGGAAAAGGAGCAAUCCGCUUUGAGAUGGCCUCGCGCCCGAUUAG